rnacentral:rRNA from 1 species
GGACGAACGCUGGCGGCGUGCCUAAUACAUGCAAGUCGAACGGUCUUUCUAUGGAAGCUUGCUUCCACUGAGAAGAUAGUGGCGAACGGGUGAGUAACACGUGGGUAACCUGCCCAUAAGAGGGGGGAUAACAUCCGGAAACGGGUGCUAAUACCGCAUAGUUUUCUUGAUCGCAUGAUCGGGAAAGGAAAGACGGCCUUUGUGCUGUCGCUUAUGGAUGGACCCGCGGCGUAUUAGUUAGUUGGUGAGGUAACGGCUCACCAAGACGAUGAUACGUAGCCGACCUGAGAGGGUGAUCGGCCACAUUGGGACUGAGACACGGCCCAAACUCCUACGGGAGGCAGCAGUAGGGAAUCUUCCGCAAUGGACGAAAGUCUGACGGAGCAACGCCGCGUGAGUGAAGAAAAGGUUUUCGGAUCGUAAAACUCUGUUGUCAGAGAAGAACAAGUUGGAGAGUAACUGCUCCAGCCUUGACGGUAUCUGACCAGAGAGCCACGGCUAACUACGUGCCAGCCGCCGC